CAGCCGCCGCGGUAAUACGGAGGGGGCUAGCGUUGUUCGGAAUUACUGGGCGUAAAGCGCACGUAGGCGGUUUUGUAAGUCAGAGGUGAAAGCCCGGAGCUCAACUCCGGAACUGCCUUUGAGACUGCAUCACUUGAACGUCGGAGAGGUGAGUGGAAUUCCGAGUGUAGAGGUGAAAUUCGUAGAUAUUCGGAAGAACACCAGUGGCGAAGGCGGCUCACUGGACGACUGUUGACGCUGAGGUGCGAAAGCGUGGGGAGCAAACAGGAUUAGAUACCCGGGUAGUCCCUGUCUCUUAUAC
rnacentral:rRNA from 1 species